rnacentral:lncRNA from 14 species
CCGGAAGCUGUCAGCCAUGCUAUUCAUAGCACCUCUGUGCUGUCCAUGGUGACACCUCGGAAGCUUUGUGUUCUGAGAUCCAAGAAGCAUGAAGUAAAAUGUUCAAUACAAAGAUCAGAGAACUCCACGCAUGUGAGCUACCGUGUCAAGAGGCUUGUCAAGUAUUGA